UUUACCUGAAAAGACAGGUACGACAACAUAGGUGUGUGUUGUUUUUUUUUUUUUAGGUGGAAAAUAUAUGUUGGCAUACAUCUUUGUUUGAAAAAAGACAACAUGUUCAAGAACUGUUCAAACUAAAUGCAGAUGAUUACUUUUGUAAAAUUCAAAUGUUACCUGAUUAGCCAUCUGUAUAUCAAGCUUCUCGACUAUUAUGAGUUAUAAAACCAAGAUAAAACAUUGCUUCAUUAAGUUAUGGUAAACGAAAUCGGUGGCAUUGAUCCUGGUAGUGUGCCACAGUCCACAACUACCUCAACAACCCAAUCACCUCCAGGACCAAACAAACCAUUAGACAACGAAAAUAGACGAUCUACAACAGAUACCAUUGCAGCCUUAACUGUUGCCAUAUUAUCUGUUAUUGUAAUUAUAACUAUUUUAUUGCUGGUCAGAGCUAUCAGAAAGAGGCGACAGGCUAGACAGGGGAGGGAACUCAAUCCAGUUGCAACUAUAUCUACAGGCGUUAUGGGCACAGGUGUAGCAGCUUACAGUAAUGCAGCCAUGGAUUGGGAACCAGUGAACCAUGGCCAAGAAAUGACAGUUAAUCCUUCAUCUCAACACAGGAGGUAGCAUUGUCUCUCAAGAGUUUUUGAGAAGGUGCUUAUUUACAGCUUAGUUGGAAUAGAAUAGAACAAGGCUAGGAUCAAAAGAUCUUCAUAUUUAUUCAAAAGCUGAUCUCAACCAUAUAUCAGUAUUACAGUACACACACACUUUCUUGGUGGUGUAUUGAGGAAUCUCUGUGAAACAAUGAUUGGGGUUGAUAGUACUUUGAUCCGUGGCCAUGUCUUAUCUAACCUAUUGAAUAAACAGAGAUAUUUCAGUGAUUUUCACACAUGAAAUGUCAUUUACUAGCAAUCACUUUUUUAAAAGUGACUUAUAAUAAAUCAUCUUGUGUGUAUUGUACAUAUCACAGAAUUGUUUCAGUAAUAAUUCUUUAAUUUUUGUACAUUUCUUUGCUUCAUGCCUAUUCAGUCUAUCUUAAAAAAACAACAACAGUGAAGUCAGUGUUUUUCUUUCUGAAUAAAAGGCAAGGUAUAGAGAAUUGAUAUGUGUUUCAUGAACUAACAGUCUUUGUAAGACAGUUAUUUAAAAAAGUUAUACUUGGACCUUGUAACAAAAAAAAAUUCAAUUUUUGUUUAAAAAUGGAAUUGGAAAGAGAAUGAGCUUUAAUUGGUGAUUAAUAGAGUUGUUUCCUUUUUACAUCUCUCUAAUAGCAUUGUUAAAAUUUCACAUGAAAGUCUGUCAGUACUUAAAUGUUUUGUAUUUUCUGUGCAUAAUGACCUAAAGUUACUAUAUGUUCUAUUUUCAUAAUUUGUUAUUUUUGUUGUUACAAUUUGUACUAUAUGAUGAUCAUGAUGUUGUAUAAGUAUAUAACCAUCCAUGUUUAUAUUCCAUGUCUGUCAGAUGCUUGUUAAUAAAUUUAUAUAUUAUUAACAUACUUA